CAGCCGCCGCGGGAAUACGAAGGGGGCUAGCGUUGCUCGGAAUUACUGGGCGUAAAGGGAGCGUAGGCGGACAUUUAAGUCAGGGGUGAAAUCCCGGGGCUCAACCUCGGAAUUGCCUUUGAUACUGGGUGUCUUGAGUAUGAGAGAGGUAUGUGGAACUCCGAGUGUAGAGGUGAAAUUCGUAGAUAUUCGGAAGAACACCAGUGGCGAAGGCGACAUACUGGCUCAUUACUGACGCUGAGGCUCGAAAGCGUGGGGAGCAAACAGGAUUAGAUACCCCCGUAGUCCCUGUCUCUUAUAC
rnacentral:rRNA from 1 species